GUGGGGUGAUGGCCUACCAAGGCGGUGACGGGUAGCCGGCCUGAGAGGGUGGACGGUCACACUGGGACUGAGACACGGCCCAGACUCCUACGGGAGGCAGCAGUGGGGAAUAUUGCACAAUGGGCGCAAGCCUGAUGCAGCGACGCCGCGUGAGGGAUGGAGGCCUUCGGGUUGUGAACCUCUUUCGCCAGUGAAGCAGGCCUGCUCCUUUGUGGGUGGGUUGACGGUAGCUGGAUAAGAAGCGCCGGCUAACUACGUGCCAGCAGCCGCGGUAAUACGUAGGGCGCGAGCGUUGUCCGGAAUUAUUGGGCGUAAAGAGCUCGUAGGCGGCUGGUCGCGUCUGUCGUGAAAUCCUCUGGCUUAACUGGGGGCUUGCGGUGGGUACGGGCCGGCUUGAGUGCGGUAGGGGAGACUGGAACUCCUGGUGUAGCGGUGGAAUGCGCAGAUAUCAGGAAGAACACCGGUGGCGAAGGCGGGUCUCUGGGCCGUUACUGACGCUGAGGAGCGAAAGCGUGGGGAGCGAACAGGAUUAGAUACCCUGGUAGUCCACGCCGUAAACGUUGGGCACUAGGUGUGGGGGGCCUUUUCCGGGUCUUCCGCGCCGUAGCUAACGCAUUAAGUG
rnacentral:rRNA from 1 species